rnacentral:tRNA from 2 species
CAGAACAUAGCUUAAAAUAAAGCACUUCGCUUACAUCGUAAUAAUGUUUGUUUAAACCAAACUGUUCUGAG